rnacentral:lncRNA from 1 species
CUCGCGGGGUGUCUAUUAUUUUGUCAGAAAUUGUAUCAGGAACUUUAUAUCAAUCACUAAAUUACACAUUUCCAAGCUGCAUAUGAAUUAGGUAUUACUAUGAUCAUUUUACAGAUGAAGAAGAUGAGACUCAGAGCAAUACAUAAGUUGCCCAAGGUCAGAGAGCAAGCCUCUGGCUGAUGGAUCCAAGAGGUAGAUACGUGAUGUCAAAAUAUUCUCUUUUAUAGGUAAUUACAAUUUACAAUGGAAGAUACAGAGGCCAC